AGUGAACGCUGGCGGCGUGCUUAACACAUGCAAGUCGAACGAGAACGGAUUAUAGCUUGCUAUAAUUGUCAGCUAAGUGGCGCACGGGUGAGUAAUGUAUAGGUAAUAUGCCUCUUACUAAGGGAUAACAAAUGGAAACGUUUGCUAAUACCUUAUACUCCUUAUUAACAGAAGUUAAUAAGGGAAAGAUUUAUUGGUAAGAGAUUAGCCUGUAUUGUAUCAGUUAGUUGGUGGGGUAAUGGCUUACCAAGACUAUGACACAUAACUGGUUUGAGAGGAUGAUCAGUCACACUGGAACUGAGACACGGUCCAGACUCCUACGGGAGGCAGCAGUGGGGAAUAUUGCACAAUGGACGAAAGUCUGACGCAGCAACGCCGCGUGGAGGAUGACACAUUUCGGUGCGUAAACUCCUUUUAUAUGAGAAGAUAAUGCCGGUAUUAUAUGAAUAAGCACCGGCUAACUCCGUGCCAGCAGCCGCAGUAA
rnacentral:rRNA from 1 species